rnacentral:rRNA from 1 species
GCUAACGCAUUAAGCACUCCGCCUGGGGAGUACGGUCGCAAGACUGAAACUCAAAGGAAUUGACGGGGGCCCGCACAAGCGGUGGAGCAUGUGGUUUAAUUCGAAGCAACGCGAAGAACCUUACCAGGUCUUGACAUCCUCUGACAAUCCUAGAGAUAGGACGUCCCCUUCGGGGGCAGAGUGACAGGUGGUGCAUGGUUGUCGUCAGCUCGUGUCGUGAGAUGUUGGGUUAAGUCCCGCAACGAGCGCAACCCUUGAUCUUAGUUGCCAGCAUUCAGUUGGGCACUCUAAGGUGACUGCCGGUGACAAACCGGAGGAAGGUGGGGAUGACGUCAAAUCAUCAUGCCCCUUAUGACCUGGGCUACACACGUGCUACAAUGGACAGAACAAAGGGCAGCGAAACCGCGAGGUUAAGCCAAUCCCACAAAUCUGUUCUCAGUUCGGAUCGCAGUCUGCAACUCGACUGCGUGAAGCUGGAAUCGCUAGUAAUCGCGGAUCAGC